rnacentral:rRNA from 1 species
GACGAACGCUGGCGGCGUGCUUAACACAUGCAAGUCGAACGGAAAGGCCCUGCUUUUGUGGGGUGCUCGAGUGGCGAACGGGUGAGUAACACGUGAGUAACCUGCCCUUGACUUUGGGAUAACUUCAGGAAACUGGGGCUAAUACCGGAUAGGAGCUCCUGCUGCAUGGUGGGGGUUGGAAAGUUUCGGCGGUUGGGGAUGGACUCGCGGCUUAUCAGCUUGUUGGUGGGGGAGUGGCUUACCAAGGCUUUGACGGGUAGCCGGCCUGAGAGGGUGACCGGCCACAUUGGGACUGCGAUACGGCCCAGACUCCUACGGGAGGCAGCAGUGGGGAAUAUUGCACAAUGGGCGGAAGCCUGAUGCAGCAACGCCGCGUGCGGGAUGACGGCCUUCGGGUUGUAAACCGCUUUCGCCUGUGACGAAGCGUGAGUGACGGUAAUGGGUAAAGAAGCACCGGCUAACUACGUG